rnacentral:rRNA from 1 species
UACGAAGGGGGGCUAGCGUUGCUCGGAAUCACUGGGCGUAAAGCGCACGUAGGCGGCUUUUUAAGUCAGGGGUGAAAUCCUGGAGCUCAACUCCAGAACUGCCUUUGAUACUGAGAGCUUGAGUCCGGGAGAGGUGAGUGGAACUGCGAGUGUAGAGGUGAAAUUCGUAGAUAUUCGCAAGAACACCAGUGGCGAAGGCGGCUCACUGGCCCGGUACUGACGCUGAGGUGCGAAAGCGUGGGGAGCAAAGCAGG